UCCCGACUGUAUAAAUUUAGCUGCCCUGAGUGUGUCUCAUAUGUCUUUCCCUCUGAGCUAGCCUGAAAUGCAUUCCAUUCCCUGUUGCUCGCUCUGUGAUUUAUCUGCAUUAUUCCUAAACUGCUGGAGUCAGAAGAGUCCCUGCGUUUGGCCUUUGGCUGGUUUAGAUUCACUGCUGUUUCUCUGGCUUUACAUGCUGUUCCUAAUAUGCAUAUCUGAAAGAUGCACUGAGAUUAUUAUUUAUUUCUGCUGUCAGUCAGUCCAGUGCAAAUGUUUAAACUCAGUAGAGUGGAUAAAUACUCCGGCUUUCUUGCUGUAUAAACGGGGCUAUAGUUAGGUAUGACCGAGAUGGCCUUCUUUAGGCAGCAACAUGAGUUCUGUGAAGCACUGACCAUCAGAAUCAAGCUCAAGCAGAUACUGGAAAAAGAGUAAUUAAAAAAAAAGAAAGCUUCUCUAGGCAUUUCCUGCUAAUCAGAAAUUAAAAAUAUGUUUCAGAUGACUUUUUGAGCAAAUAUCUCUCUCCCUGCGUAUGUUUUCACACAGAAUGUUGGAAAGAAAUGGAUUUUUUCCCUCUUUUUUUUUUUUGGCUAUGCUUAUUUAUUAGAUGUUUGCCAAGAAUUUCAUCUGAAGCUUUUCAUUGCCAGAUGAGAGCUUAAUUCUAGCAUUCUGCCUCAGGCAGAAACUGAGUUGUUUUUUAAGAGUAGAUGGUGGUAGUGAUAUAUAUAUUUUUUAUGUUUGACAGUUGUUAUGAUAAUGGUCUGUGCUGGUCAUGAAAUACAAUGUAACCUCUUCAGUUUCCUGUUUCCUAAUUGUAGCGCUUAGUAUAUUUGAAAUAAUUCAAAGAAGAUGAAGAAAAAUAAUUUAUUAGACCUUAAAAAUAUGAGAUCAUCAACAGCAAUGGAGAGAACAUAUUUGGUAUCAGUGUGAGAGAGAGGUGAAAGGGACAGAGACUCCUGUCAAGUGGCACUGGAGUGCAUAGGUUCAGCCUCUCCAACCACAGUUGUAGCUUGUACUCUUUCCUGGCACUUGCUAAUUCUGGCAUCUUCUCCUGCUUCACAAGGGGAGGAGGGAGGGUCCAGGUAGAUGCAUGUAAAGCCCUUGCGUGCCAUGAUGGGCUGUAAAUAUAUCCAAUGGCAGGUGACAAUGAAGGCGUUAACACCCUCGCUUAUGGUUAGGUAACAUCUGUCCUAGGUGGUAGACAUAUUCUUAACAAAUCCUGUCUGCCUACAGCAUGUUUUUACAAAGAGAAACUAACAAAAGCAGACUUGAUAGAUGGUGUUCUCUCAAAGAAUUCCAAGAACUCGUGAUCAAUGUUGUUUGAUUCCUUUAAAGAGGAAAAGGUUUUCAAACAUUUUUUUUUUCUACUUUAAAAUUUACCUCAUGUAGGAGAAAGGAUCCUAUUAAAGUAAAAAAUUUAUUGCCUGCAUUUGACCAGUCAUGGAUCUUGGUAAUAGACUCUGUGUACUGAAAAAUGAAUCUUCUUCGAUGAGUGUGAAAGCUCACACUUAUCUGUGGGUGUAAGGAUAAGCAUUUAGAGUACAGUUAAAACAUAAAUUGGUUUAAGAAAAAAUGGUGAUAGUAGUUUCUCCUCGAGGGCUUGCAGUACUAAGCUUGAGUUAUUUUGUAUUGAGUAGCCCUUAAAAACCAUCAGACAGCUGUUGAGUACCCACCCCCAAGAUAUAAAUGUCACUAGUACACCAGUAGGGAUAUCAUGCUGUUUUGGUCAUUGUGGUGGCUCAUAGCCUUUACAGAAAAUAAGUGUCCUGUAUAAUCUCUCUCUCUCUGUCUCUCUUUACCUAUCUAUCUAUCAGCUAUCAAUAGACACAAACUAUCAUUAUCUAAAUGGGGACCACAGUUAAGUAAAUAUCUGUGAUUGUUUUGUAGGCAAGCCUAUAAGGGGCACUUUCUUAACUAGAACAGAAAUUGGUACCAUGGUUAUGGGGUAUCACUGUGACAAACCUGACUGUUUAAUUUGAAGGGAAUAUUGUAGAAGGUGUUUGAAACUUUGGGAUAGGAAAGCCAUUGAAUGUUCAGAGCUUAGUGGAUUGUUAUAUGAACCUGGGAAAGAAUGCUGAGAGGAAGGCAAACGGUAGAGACCUGGGUUGCUCUAGGCAUAAUGUUAUUGUGCCCAGAAGAAAGAUUAUCCUAGUAUUAUUCAAGUGCUGAUGUCUUUGCCCUCAUAUCUGGUUACUAUCCAGAUAUUAUUCUAAGAAUCUCCCAUUUCAAUGUUGUGUAAACACUGCUUCCCAUUUAUUCUCUGAUUUAUCAAUAAAAGCUGAUCAGCCAGUGACUGAGCAGGGGAGAGAAUGGGGCUGUAUUCCCAAGCCCAGCCUAAGGCGUGGGGGUGAGGGUAGGGAUUGGGGUGUGGAUGGGGGGUGGAGAAAGAGGCAUUCACCAGAAAGAAAGGGUCCAGGAGACACCAUGGGGCCACACCUGGAGCAAGGAGAGUCAGAAAAAUACUACAAUACAAGAAUCUCAGGGAUUUUGGCUGGGAGGUAGUCAGAUUACCUCAGAGAAUUAAAAUAGGUUAAUAACUGUUCAGGUACUGUGCUGUAAAACUGGAUAAAUACAUCUAAUAGUCUCCAUCUCAUUUAUUUGGGAGCUAGUCAGUAUAAAGACAAACCAUCACUUUUUAAAUUGCAGUAACAGAUUGUGACGUUUGAGAGGGAAGCAAAGACUCAGGGCUAUUUAUGUGAUAUAAUGAAUUAAGAAUUUGUGGUCCUGUUCAGCUAGGGCUAAUGAAUUAGCUGUGACUAUCAGGAGACCAAAAUCACUAAAGUGAAAUAUUUGCUUUGAUGGCUACCUGUAGCUAAAAGUUUAGCAAUGAUUAAGACAAGACCAUUAUGACUGAGGUGACAUCUUCUGAGAAGUAUCUCCUCAGAGUCAGCACACAGAAAUUAUGACCGAGAAGGGGGCCAAACGUAUAUCUUACACUGGCAGCUGAACUUGGUAAUGUGUAAGAGUUUCUCAAGUGAUACUGGUGUUGAAGGCAUGAAGGAGUCAUGUAGAGCAGCUGAGGCUUGAAACCACGAGAGGCCAGGAGAGGCCACUGGUAAAUGGAAAGCCUCAGUUGAAGUAGAAACCCAAGUACAGGAGAUGUUAUGGAAAGAACAACAUUUAGCAGAGACAGUGUCCAUGAAGAAAGCUCAGGAGAGGCUACUGGUGAAGGGACAGCCAGUUGUAGUGGAGACUCCAAGAGUUGGACGGUGUCAGUACCACGCUGCCAAGGACACAGCAGACGUGGAGGGGAACUACCCUGAGCUUAGGAGACAAGCUGUGUGAGCCCCAGAUGGAUGUCAGAGCUAGAGAAAUGGAACCCUUUGAAGCCCGGGGGUUUGCGUGGGUCCCAGAUGUCAAUCAUGAACAUUUUUAUAUAGCUGAACUUCGGUUUUGCUUUGAUUUGUUUAUAACUGUGCCCUGGUUCUUCCCUCUUAAGAAAGUAUGUAACUUUCUCUCUUUUUUUUAUUUUUUAUUUUUUGCUUUAGAAGAGCACAUAGUUCAGAGACUGGGAAUUUUUGAGAGGCUUUGGAUAUUUAAGAGAAAAAGUGAACUUUGAAUGAUACUUUGGAUGUUUUAGAGAAACUGAAUUUUUCAAGUGUUGAAAUGUUUAAAGACUUGUGGGGUUUUUCUUUCUUUUAAACAUUAGUUCUAUUACCAUUAUGUUUAUUUUUAUUACUUCUCUUAUUUUUAAAAAGAUUAAAUAAUAAUUAUAAUAAUUAAAAUUAUUAUGAGAAUAAUAAAUAAAUACUAAAUAAACUAUUUUACUGCCCUUGUUUACCUAAUAAUAUUAUGUGUAAAUCUCAAAUAUUUAUAAUAAAAUUUAUUU
rnacentral:lncRNA from 1 species